GCUGGCGGCGGCUUACACAUGCAAGUCGAGCGGGGGAAGGUAACUUGCGUACCGGACCUAGCGGCGGACGGGUGAGUAAUGCUUAGGAAUCUGCCUAUUAGUGGGGGACAACAUCUCGAAAGGGAUGCUAAUACCGCAGACGUCCUACGGGAGAAAGCAGGGGAUCUUCGGACCUUGCGCUAAUAGAUGAGCCUAAGUCGGAUUAGCUAGUUGGUGGGGUAAAGGCCUACCAAGGCGACCAUCUGUAGCGGGUCUGAGAGGAUGAUCCGCCACACUGGGACUGAGACACGGCCCAGACUCCUACGGGAGGCAGCAGUGGGGAAUAUUGGACAAUGGGGGGAACCCUGAUCCAGCCAUGCCGCGUGUGUGAAGAAGGCCUUAUGGUUGUAAAGCACUUUAAGCGAGGAGGAGGCUACUUUAGUUAAUACCUAGAGAUAGUGGACGUUACUCGCAGAAUAAGCACCGGCUAACUCUGUGCCAGCAGCCGCGGUAAUACAGAGGGUGCGAGCGUUAAUCGGAUUUACUGGGCGUAAAGCGUGCGUAGGCGGCUUAUUAAGUCGGAUGUGAAAUCCCCGAGCUUAACUUGGGAAUUGCAUUCGAUACUGGUGAGCUAGAGUAUGGGAGAGGAUGGUAGAAUUCCAUGUGUAGCGGUGAAAUGCGUAGAGAUCUGGAGGAAUACCGAUGAGCGAACGCAGCCAUCUGGCCUAAUACUGACUGCUGAGGUACGAAAGCAUGGGGAGCAAACAGGAUUAGAUACGCAUGAGUAGUCCAUGCCCGUAAACGAUGUCUAA
rnacentral:rRNA from 1 species